GACUAACGCUGGCGGAAUGCAUCAUACAUGCAAGUCGAACGAUGAGGCACCUUCGGGUGUACAUCAGUGGCGGACGGGUGAGUAACGCGUAGAUAACGUGCCUUGUACUGGGGGACAACAGUUGGAAACGACUGCUAAUACCGCAUAAGACCCAGGCUGAAAUGCCUGUGUUUAAAGCUCCGGCGGUACAAGAUCGGUCUGCGUCGGAUUAGCUUGUUGGUAGGGUAAUGGCCUACCAAGGCAACGAUCCGUAGCUGGUCUGAGAGGAUGGCCAGCCACAGUGGGACUGAGACACGGCCCAC
rnacentral:rRNA from 1 species